CGUCUAGGCGGGAAAAUAAGUUAGAUGUGAAAGCCAUGGGCUCAACCCGUGAAUUGCAUCUAAAACUGUUUUUCUUGAGUUCGGGAGAGGAGUGCGGAAUUCCAGGUGUAGCGGUGAAAUGCGUAGAUAUCUGGAAGAACACCAGUGGCGAAGGCGGCACUCUGGCCUAGAACUGACGCUGAAGCGCGAAAGCGUGGGGAGCGAAC
rnacentral:rRNA from 1 species